rnacentral:rRNA from 1 species
GGACCCGCACAAGCGGUGGAUGAUGUGGAUUAAUUCGAUGCAACGCGAAAAACCUUACCUACCCUUGACAUGCCACUAACGAAGCAGAGAUGCAUUAGGUGCCCGAAAGGGAAAGUGGACACAGGUGCUGCAUGGCUGUCGUCAGCUCGUGUCGUGAGAUGUUGGGUUAAGUCCCGCAACGAGCGCAACCCUUGCCGAUAGUUGCUACGAAAGGGCACUCUAUCGGGACUGCCGGUGACAAACCGGAGGAAGGUGGGGAUGACGUCAAGUCCUCAUGGCCCUUAUGGGUAGGGCUUCACACGUCAUACAAUGGUCGGUACAAAGGGCUGCCAACCCGCGAGGGGGAGCUAAUCCCAGAAAACCGAUCGUAGUCCGGAUUGCAGUCUGCAACUCGACUGCAUGAAGUCGGAAUCGCUAGUAAUCGCGGAUCAGCAUGUCGCGGUGAAUACGUUCCCGGGUCUU